rnacentral:rRNA from 1 species
GACGAACGCUGGCGGCGUGCUUAACACAUGCAAGUCGAACGGAAAGGCCCUGCUUUUGUGGGGUGCUCGAGUGGCGAACGGGUGAGUAACACGUGAGUAACCUGCCCUUGACUUUGGGAUAACUUCAGGAAACUGGGGCUAAUACCGGAUAGGAGCUCCUGCUGCAUGGUGGGGGUUGGAAAGUUUCGGCGGUUGGGGAUGGACUCGCGGCUUAUCAGCUUGUUGGUGGGGUAGUGGCUUACCAAGGCUUUGACGGGUAGCCGGCCUGAGAGGGUGACCGGCCACAAUGGGACUGAGAUACGGCCCAGACUCCUACGGGAGGCAGCAGUGGGGAAUAUUGCACAAUGGGCGGAAGCCUGAUGCAGCAACGCCGCGUGCGGGAUGACGGCCUUCGGGUUGUGAACCGCUUUCGCCUGUGACGAAGCGUGAGUGACGGUAAUGGGUAAAGAAGCACCGGCUAACUACGUG